rnacentral:rRNA from 1 species
UACGAAGGGUGCAAACGUUGCUCGGAAUCAUUGGGCGUAAAGCGCACGUAGGCGGCCCGUUAAGUCGGAUGUGAAAUCCCUCGGCUCAACCGAGGACGUGCAUUCGAAACUGGCGGGCUCGAGUAUGGAAGAGGGUCGCGGAAUUCCCGGUGUAGAGGUGAAAUGCGUAGAUAUCGGGAGGAACACCUGUGGCGAAGGCGGCCCCCUGGUUGGAUACUGACGCUGAUACGCGAAAGCGUGGGGAGCAAACAGG